UACGAGGGAUGCAAGCGUUAUCCGGAAUUAUUGGGCGUAAAGCGUUUGUAGGCGGGCGAGUGUGUUUAAUGUUAAAUCUUAAAGCUCAACUUUGAAAUUGCGUUAAAAACUGCUUGUCUUGAGUAUGGUAGGGGUAAAGGGAAUUCCCAGUGUAGCGGUGAAAUGCGUAGAUAUUGGGAAGAACACUAAACAGCGAAGGCACUUUACUAGGCUAAUACUGACGCUGAGAAACGAAAGGUAAGGUAGCGAAACGGAUUAGAUACCCGUGUAGUCUUACCCGUAAACUAUGGACACUAAACGGUAAAUUUUUAAUUUACUGUUAAAGCUAACGCGUUAAGUGUCCCGCCUGGGGAGUAUGCUUGCAAAAGUGAAACUCAAAGGAAUUGACGGGGGCCCGCACAGGCGGUGGAGCAUGUGGUUUAAUUCGACGGUACACGAAGAACCUUACCAGGAUUUGACAUGCUAGAUAGUUGCUUGAAAGAGUAACGUGCCGUAAGGAAUCUAGACACAGGUGGUGCAUGGCUGUCGUCAGUUCGUGUUGUGAAAUGUUGGGUUAAGUCCCGCAACGAACGCAACCCUUGUCUUUAGUUAUUUUCUAAAGAGACUGCCUGUAAUAAACAGGAGGAAGGUAAGGAUGAGGUCAAGUCAUCAUGCCCCUUAUGUCCUGGGCUACACACGUGCUACAAUGGGAAAGACAAUGAGCUGCAAAUCUGUAAAUUUAACCAAAUCUCUUAAACUUUCUCGUAGUUGGGAUUGUGGGCUGCAACUCGCCCACAUGAAGUU
rnacentral:rRNA from 1 species